rnacentral:misc_RNA from 1 species
GAUGAAGAACGUAGCAAAAUGCGAUAAGUAAUGUGAAUUGCAGAAUUCAGUGAAUCAUCGAAUCUUUGAACGCACAUUGCGCCCGCCAGUAUUCUGGCGGGCAUGCCUGUUCGAGCGUCAUUUCAACCCUCAAGCACAGCUUGGUGUUGGGACUCGCGUUAAUUCGCGUUCCUCAAAUUGAUUGGCGGUCACGUCGAGCUUCCAUAGCGUAGUAGUAAAACCCUCGUUACUGGUAAUCGUCGCGGCCACGCCGUUAAACCCCAACUUCUGAAUGUUGACCUCGGAUCAGGUAGGACUACCCGCUGAACUUAAGCAUAUCAAUAAGCGGAGGA